rnacentral:rRNA from 1 species
AGAAUCAACGCUGGCGGCGUGCCUCAGACAUGCAAGUCGAACGCGAAAGUUUCCUUCGGGAGGCGAGUAGAGUGGCGCACGGGUGAGUAACACGUAGGUAAUCUACCUUUGGAUGGGGAAUAACAAUCGGAAACGGUUGCUAAUACCGCAUAAUGCAGCGGCACCUAAUGGUGACAGUUGUUAAAGCGGGGGAUCGAAAGACCUCGCGUCUGAAGAGGAGCCUGCGGCGGAUUAGCUAGUUGGUAAGGUAAUGGCUUACCAAGGCUACGAUCC